rnacentral:lncRNA from 1 species
GAACCCACUCUGGACCGGACACCUUGCUAUUGGGCUUAAGCUUCCUUUUUAAUCUUGGCUGUAGCAGCACACCAUCUUCUUCGCUUCCAGUCUCUGGCGCAGGUUCACUUGUCUUGGCAUCCUUGCGUGUGCUAACAGAAGCUUUCCAUCAGCAUAUUCAGGCCGGGUUUAGACACUGACCCCUACUUCUCUGGGCCCUGUGAACGAACGGAUACCCUGACGGCCGGGCAGAGAAAUGGUGCAAAACGUUAGCGAAGUAGCCUGGUCGUUGAAACCUGAAAAAAAUGGUCUGGCUGCUGCUGCUGCAUGGUUGCAUAAGCUCGUUUUUUACAUGCCUGAUGGCUGUAUUCUCCUGGUUUGCUGUGCUCAU